UUUACCUUUCUAUGGAGUUUUAGUACUGCAAAGUAAUAAUAAUGCAGUACUAAAACUCCAUAGGAAGGAAUC